GAAUGAGAACACAAGAAAGAGGAGGGGACUGUAUUGUGUCCUUAAACUCAAGUUCAAAUUGAGAGAGGAAUGAUACCUGGAUCCAGUGUCCUUAAAGCACUUGUUCUCGUAGCACUUUUUUUUUUUUUUUUCUCUUGGUUGGUACUCAUGCACACAUACUUUCACUUAAGCUUAAACUCCUGAUCUCUCUGAAAAGGGAGAGACUGAUAUUGCUAGGCCAACAGGGUUAAUACAAAACCGUGUGAAUUUAGUUUUCCUAUAUAUAGGGCAAAUCAUUUCAGCCUUCCAAAUCGCCUCUGUCUCUAUUCUCGUUCUCAUCAUUUCAGCCUCCCAAAUCGCCUCCAUCUCUAUUCUCGUUCUCAACUCUGAACUUGCCCUCUCUCUGUCUCUGCAACUGCAAACUACAAAAUCUACAAGAAUCAGAACCCAUAUCGGCAUAUCAUUUCAGAUAGUUGAAAAAAUCAAAAUCCAUAUCCUUCAGUUUCCAAAUGCCGCUGUUCCAGUUCGAUCGGGUUCGCCGUUCGCAAGCUUCAGCCUCUGGCCCGCUGUUUCUCAACUCUCAAGCCCUCUCUCUGCAACUGCUAACUUGAUACUCAAUGGAUAAAGGUUGGAUGCACCUUAAUGACAGAGCUUCAAAUGAGUAUAAAGCUGGAGCACAACGUUUUGUUAAUUGGGCUAAACUUAAUGCGGGGAAUCAAGAAAGCAUUUUACAUCAAAAUUUGUAUCACUGCCGCUUCAGGA